UUAUAUAAAAUCCGAACGUUUUUUAAAUACACUCAGCUGUUGUCACUAGAAAAUAUCUGGUGCAACUUUUAUAAACGAUACCAACCCGACCAGUACGUAUUCUCUGAGGUUUGAUGAGGCUAAACAUUGGCCAAAUAAAAAAACCUUUGAAACGAGAGGGCUAAAUUCCUCUAACUUUUGCAACAGACAACUUCUGCUGAAUCUGAUUCUUCCAAUAUUAUGUUUGAAAAUAAACGCGUUAGGGACCAUGAAUCUAAAUUUGGACCAUGGGAUCUUCGGGAUAACCAAGAUAACUCUAAACUUAACAAAGAUGUACCACCUAUAUUCGAGGUCCUUAUGAAAUCUUAUAACUGCUUAUUAUAAGCAAUAGUGACUCAUAACAAUAUUAAUAAGGAUCAAGUCUCCACAGUGAUCCCCCUUAAAGUUUCAAAAAAGCCAAAGGUUUUAAAGACUGGUUUUAAGAGAAACGUUAGAACUCCUAAAGCUGGAAAACGAAAAGAGGGGGGGAAAGAGCCCACAAAUUCGGUUUACGCCUGUGAAGAUUCAAAAACCUAUAUUGCAGAAAAAACUUCUUUUUUUGAUAACUGGGACUUUUUGGAUUAA